UACCUACGGGAGGCAGCAGUGAGGAAUAUUGGUCAAUGGGCGGGAGCCUGAACCAGCCAAGUCGCGUGAGGGACGACGGUCCUAUGGAUUGUAAACCUCUUUUGUCGGGGAACAAAGGCGCCCACGGGUGGGCGGAAGGAGAGUACCCGUAGAACAAGCAUCGGCUAACUCCGUGCCAGCAGCCGCGGUAAUACGGAGGAUGCGAGCGUUAUCCGGAUUUAUUGGGUUUAAAGGGUGCGCAGGCGGCACGGCAAGCCGGCGGUCAAAUCGCGGGGCUCAACCCCGCCCAGCCGUCGGAACUGCCG
rnacentral:rRNA from 1 species